UAACGAGGGAAUGGUCGUGGUGUUCGUCACCUCACGGUGCCACACCUGAAACAACAGGCCCCACAGCAUGCCUCUGCCCAGAUUGUCCACAGCUACGUCCAUCCAGUCCCCGAACCUGGAGCUCUGGCCCAGCCUCCUCGCCAGCCACCGAUCCAGUCCCGCACAGAACACAUCGUGACACACUGGAGACAGAACAAAAUAAUUUGCUAUGCAAUCAGCAACUACGAACCCUCAGAAAGUGUUUUUGAGUUUUUUAGCUAGACGCAACCCUAAACUAUAUGCAACUCAGAAGAUUAUUGAUUACAGCUACAAUUUCAGUAUCAGCGCUUAUGUUUACCAAUAUGAUAUCUUUUAUUGUACAGAAUAAACAAUGCAGAAAAAUGUGCACUUAUGUUUACAUUUUACGUAAAAUAAAUGUUCUUAAUUCAUUUA